GGAGAGGUGGCAGAGUCUGGUUGAUUGCGCAGCACUCGAAAUGCUGUGAAGGGAGACCUUCCGUGGGUUCGAAUCCCACCCUCUCCG
rnacentral:tRNA from 3 species